GCUAACGAUGUAUAUUUAUCGAUGUCGGCGCAGUGAUAAUAUUCCAAGGCCCUUUGUGAGGAAGUGUACUUGAGGCAACAAACUCCUCAAACGCCUCUCGGGAUAUUGAUUUUUUCCCUACCAAGAAAUUCUCUAUACUUCCGAAAAAGUAGAAGUCUGUCGACGCAAUGUCUGGUGAUCACAGUGGAUAAAGCAAUACUUCAAAACCUAGCUCUUGCAGCUUAGAGACCGUCUAUUAUGCCAUAUGAGGUCCUACGUUGUAAUGGAGAAAUAGCGCAGACAAAUGAUUAACCAUGGAUAGCCGGAGAUUCGAGUGCUUUUACAUCAUUGUGUCCAAUUCCUCACAAUACACACUAUCACAGUAAUGCUGGUGCCAUUUGACAAGCAUACGCUGUAACUGAUGGUGUAUGGUCAUCAUGUCGGGAUAAAGGCUAGCCUAAUCUGAAGAAUGCUUACUUUCCCCCACUCCUCACCACACCCCCGCCUCCCUGAAGUUGGACGUAGCAGGAAAUUCAUUCGAGCAGGGAGUUCGCUGUCUUAUGAACAUUUUGUUCCAGAGUAGGGAUUGAUAGUGUAGCAGUAAUAAGGACGGUAUCAAAAAACUGGUAUUGGACAUUCACGCAAACAUAUAACCACACAAAAACUGCGUUGUCACUUUUAAGGUUUAGUAUUUGGGUAAAUAAAAAUUUGUUGACAGACA